AAUAGUCAGACAAAAUUCAAAACCUAACUUAAUAGUAUGCAUCUGUAACAACGGCUUAGUGUUGGCCAAUCCCAGCAGCCAUACUUCAACCACUCAUAGACUGCGAAAUGUUCAAACUGCAUUCAAAGAAGGCAAAUGCUGAGCUGUAACCGAUCUCACUGUUUCUGUACCUCACUUCUGAUUCCUAUGGUGUCAGAAGCACAUCCGAAGUGGAGCUUUUAGUGACCCUCAGGAAUACUGAGUGAACACGCAAGGAACCCGCAGGACCCACUCGUGUCCAUUGAUCUCUGGGAGUAGAUGGGAGCGACCAUCUUGCCCAGAGACCACGUGCUGAAACUCCUACGGAGAGGUUGGAUUAAAGAUGAGGGGCCCCAUCUGAGGGCAAAUGUAAGCCUUGCCAAUUUGAUAUUGGGUGCCAAGCAGAGUGGCUAAUAUCUAUGCUUUAUGACACGUAUUUUGCUCUGGCCAGACUGAAAAAAGAUAAAUUUCCUUUAUGAUGCAUCUUGGCCCUGGCGUGAUGGUGUGGCAAGCUGAGUCACUAAGGCUGUUCGGGGAAAGGGAAACCACAAGUUUGGCAUGCUGGCAAAAGGGUAAGAAUUUCUUACCAGUCAGGUUUCUGGCUUCUCUCUCUCUGUGCAAACAGUUGAA